rnacentral:rRNA from 1 species
CCUACGGGUGGCAGCAGUGGGGAAUAUUGGGCAAUGGGCGCAAGCCUGACCCAGCAACGCCGCGUGAAGGAAGAAGGCUUUCGGGUUGUAAACUUCUUUUUUCAGGGACGAAGCAAGUGACGGUACCUGAUGAAUAAGCCACGGCUAACUACGUGCCAGCAGCCGCGGUAAUACGUAGGUGGCAAGCGUUAUCCGGAUUUACUGGGUGUAAAGGGCGUGUAGGCGGGACUGCAAGUCAGAUGUGAAAACCAUGGGCUCAACCUAUGGCCUGCAUUUGAAACUGUAAUUCUUGAGUACUGGAGAGGCAGGCGGAAUUCGUGGUGUAGCGGUGAAAUGCGUAGAUAUUAGGAAGAACACCAGUGGCGAAGGCGGACUGCUGGACAGCAACUGACGCUGAGGCGCGAAAGCGUGGGGAGCAAACAGGAUUAGAUACCCCAGUAGUC